rnacentral:rRNA from 1 species
GAUGAACGCUGGCGGCGUGCCUAAUACAUGCAAGUCGGGCGAACGGACGAGAAGCUUGCUUCUCUGAUGUUAGCGGCGGACGGGUGAGUAACACGUGGAUAACCUACCUAUAAGACUGGGAUAACUUCGGGAAACCGGAGCUAAUACCGGAUAAUAUUUUGAACCGCAUGGUUCAAAAGUGAAAGACGGUCUUGCUGUCACUUAUAGAUGGAUCCGCGCUGCAUUAGCUAGUUGGUAAGGUAACGGCUUACCAAGGCAACGAUACAUAGCCGACCUGAGAGGGUGAUCGGCCACACUGGAACUGAGACACGGUCCAGACUCCUACGGGAGGCAGCAGUAGGGAAUCUUCCGCAAUGGGCGAAAGCCUGACGGAGCAACGCCGCGUGAGUGAUGAAGGUCUUCGGAUCGUAAAACUCUGUUAUUAGGGAAGAACAUAUGUGUAAGUAACUGUGCACAUCUUGACGGUACCUAAUCAGAAAGUCACGGCUAACUACGUG